rnacentral:rRNA from 1 species
AUCAUGGCUCAGGACGAACGCUGGCGGCGUGCCUAACACAUGCAAGUCGAACGGGGUGAAGCCCUUCGGGACUUCACUUAGUGGCGAACGGGUGAGUAACGCGUGAGGAACCUGCCUCAAAGAGGGGGACAACAGUUGGAAACGACUGCUAAUACCGCAUAAGCCCACGGCUCGGCAUCGAGCAGAGGGAAAAGGAGUGAUCCGCUUUGAGAUGGCCUCGCGUCCGAUUAGCUAGUUGGUGAGGUAACGGCCCACCAAGGCGACGAUCGGUAGCCGGACUGAGAGGUUGAACGGCCACAUUGGGACUGAGACACGGCCCAGACUCCUACGGGAGGCAGCAGUGGGGAAUAUUGGGCAAUGGGGGAAACCCUGACCCAGCAACGCCGCGUGAAGGAAGAAGGCCUCGGGUUGUAAACUUCUUUUACCAGGGACGAAGGACGUGACGGUACCUGGAGAAAAAGCAACGGCUAACUACGUG